rnacentral:rRNA from 1 species
UACGUAGGGACCAAGCGUUGUUCGGAUUUACUGGGCGUAAAGGGCGCGUAGGCGGCGCGGUAAGUCACUUGUGAAAUCUCUGAGCUUAACUCAGAACGGCCAAGUGAUACUGCAGUGCUAGAGUGUGGAAGGGGCAAUCGGAAUUCUUGGUGUAGCGGUGAAAUGCGUAGAUAUCAAGAGGAACACCUGGGGUGAAGACGGGUUGCUGGGCCAACACUGACGCUGAGGCGCGAAAGCCAGGGGAGCAAAUGGG